AUCGCGAUAGCUCAGCUGUUAGAGCAUCUGCCCGGUAUGCAGAGGGUGGCCGGUUCGACUCCGGCUCGCGGUG
rnacentral:tRNA from 1 species